UUUUCCGUCCGUCGUCCUGCCCGCUCAACAAUCCUGUGAGGUACAGAUCCCAUUGUACAGACGGGCACAUUAAGGCUCGGGAAGGUCGAGCAGUUGGGCCAAGCCUUCGCAGCCAGGCUGUGACAGAGCCAGGAUUUGAACCAAGGUGUCUCUGGGUAGACAAUAGACUCUGUCCAGUGGUCCGAGCUUGCGUGAAGAGAGAGAGGUGGCCUCUGAGGCCGUGCGAAAUCUUCGACUUCUUCUCCCUCGCCUUGGCCCGAAACUGGUUUGGGAGAGAGGGAAUGAGAAACCAGGAUCUUUUCUUUCGGGUUCCACCUUGGGCUUUAGAUCAGGGAAUCUCUUGGCAGGAAAUAGUCUGACUAUUCGACCGGGAAGAGUUAACUGUAAGGGCUACUUACAAGGGGGCGAGUAGGGUUAAGGGACCCAGCAAGGGACACUAGAGUUCUCUGGGGCCAGCAACCGUGGGAGCCGUUAUCCCCCUCAGGGCUGCAGGGGCCGGGGGUGGGGGGUGGGGGGAGGUGCACAGAGCCAGAGAGGGUUGGAACCACGGAGACGGGCUGUCCGCAUGAACCACUGUCGUGGAGGGUGAUGUUUGGGGAGGAGUAGGGACUAGAUACCCUGACAUGAUCUUUCAAUCCGCCCUCCCUCCUGUCCGUAGCCAGUGCCUUCCAUCAGCCGAGUCCGAUCAGCCAGGAGGGCAAGAGCCUGGUGAUGAAUCUUCAGCGGCUGGGUGUCUGGGGAGCGGGCAGAGCGGAGAAGGUCGAGCACAGAUGUGCGUGAUGCAGGCAUAGACUUGGCCCCAUCCCCCGUCCCUUUCGAGCCUGCCAUCGGGGACACAGCCAGUGACCUUGAGACUGUUUUCUGCAGAGAAGGGCGACUCUUGGGUGCAUUUCAGUAGGUGCACCGGGAAUUUCUUGGAACGGUGGCGGGCCCACCAAAUCCUCCCCGAAACACUCUCUCCACCUGUCAGCGCCCCGAUAGGCUCAAGUGUGUGGCUGUCGCACUUGGAGAGGAAUUUGGAGGGUGUAUGUCUCCGGGGCAUUCUCCAGCCCCUUUUUAUCAGGAGUCUCAUUUUGAAGGUAGUGUUUAUUGGGGGCGCCUGGGUGGCUCAGUCGGUUGAGAGUCCAGCUCUGGCUCAGGUCGUGGUCUCGCAGUUCGUGGGUUCGAGCCCCGCGUCGGGCUCUGUGCUGACAGCUCGGAGCCUGCUUCGGAUUCUGUGUCUCCCUCUCUCUCUGCCCCUCCCCCACUCAUGCUCUGUCUCUCUCUGUCUCUCUCUCUCUCUCAAAAAUAAAUAAACAUUAAAUUUUUUUUUCAAUCAUAGAAUAAAAGUAAAAUGAGGAGAUAGCGGAAUUCAUAAUUCAUCGAAUGCUUUCCACGUGUCAUGGCCUGUGAUAGGCUCUUGCUAUUUUCAGCUUCUAACUUCCCUGGAGCUCUGAGAGGUAGGUAUUCUGGGCCUUCUGUCCUGAUCAGGACAUAGAGGUUCAGAGAUUUAACUUGCCCAAGGCCAGUCACCAAGGAAACGGUAAAGACAGGAGGGAAACCCGAGGCUCGGCGGGCUGGGGCAAACCGUUUCCUGGCUACCGACGAUGUGCUAGGUGAAGGAAAGCGAGACCACGGGAGGUUGCGAAGCUGCUCUCUGGGUUUGAACUUGCCCGUGACAAGACGGGCACGGACACCAAGCCACGUUCCCCACGCUCUGUGUGACUGAAGUUCCCACACGAGAUGAGGUUGAACCUUAUGAAAUUGCCAGCAGCCAAUCAAGUUCGAACUACAAAACGAGCGAGUCCCUUUGGAGCCUGUCCCGCGCUGCUGGUAGAGGACGGAGGUGCGGGGACCUCCUACCUCUGGCUGUGUGAACCCCUCAGGACAGAUGUGCAAGAAAGACGGCAGGAGUAGACGGGAAGGAGGCAUUGGGAGUUGCAGGGCACUUACCUAAGCCAGGCGCCCUGGGAAUCGCUGGACGCACGCCGUCUCAGAAUCUUUGCAAACAGCUCUGGAGAACACGAUGCCCGUUUUACAGAUGCAGAGACUGAGGUCCAGGGAUGAGCUUGCUCAAGGUCGCUCAGCUGGCUUUGCUGUCUGGAAACUAAUUCUUCGAUGGGAAUGCGAAGGGAAAUUGAUAGCGGCGGGGUGCAAUGCAGUGCAGGGGGGUUUCCUUUUGGACAUGAGAUCUGGAUGAAAUGUCGGUCGAGUUUCUCUGGCUAUGGGGAGGUGCAGGAGGUGGUCCGGGCAUUGAGAAUCUCGGGGUGCCCAGCUCUCUGUGAGCCGCACAGCGGGGUCUAGCCUCUUGAAUCCGGGGGUGCGGGGGGGCCGUGCCUCAUCAUUUGCUAUUUGUGUGAGCACAUUCCACUUCCAGGAUCACCCCUGAAAGCGUUCUUAUCCGCAUUUUGCAGAUGGGGAAAGUGAGGCUCGGAUGGGUGAAGGUCCCUGUGGUGGUUAUCUGAUGCUCCGGGACAAGCCACCGUGGACUCAGUGGCCUCAAGACCACUCAUUUCUUACACUCACAAAUUCCGUGGGUCAGGAAUUUGGAUAGGGUAUAGAAGGGAUACCUUCUGCCCCAUCAUCCUCUGCUCCAUCAUGUCUGAGACCUCAGCUUGGAAGACCUGAAUGGCCAAGAGCGACUAGAACAGUUGGCCGGCUCAUUCACGUGUCUGGCACCGGGGCUGGGUGGCUCACAGGCUGGGCUGAGCGGGGACAGUUGAUUGGAACAACCCACACGGCCUCUUCCUUCAGCCUGGGAUCGACUCCUUGUAUCACGGCACCGAGAUGCAUUAUAGGAAGUGGCUCAUGUGAUUACGGGGGGCUCAGAAGUCCCGGAGUCCUCCAUUUGCAAGUCGGAGACCCAGAAAACCGGAUGGUGACAUUCAGUCCAAGUCUGAGGGUCUACAGAUGGGGGCCCGAUGAUGUAAACCCCCGUCAGAGCCCCAAGGCCCGAACACCAGAAGCAGUGAUCCUAGCUCAAGCAGAGAGCAAAUUUGUCCUUCCUCUUCCUUUUUGUUUGAUGGGGGGCCCUCGAUGGAUCGCAUGAUGCCCACCCACACUAGUGAGGAGUAUCUUAUUUAGCCAGUCCACCGGUCCAAAUGUUAACCUCUUCUGGAAACACCCUCACAGAUACACCAAUAAAUCAAGUUUUCCCAACCGCCUGGGCAUCCCUUAGUCCCGUCAAAAAAUUAGCCAUCACAUCACCUUAUCCUGGAUCAUCAUCCCAGCUUUUUAUUAUUAUUUUUUUUUAAACUUUCUUUUAAUGCUUAUUUAUUUUUGAGAGAGAGAGAGAGCGUGCGCGCAAGAGUGGGGGAGGGGGAGAGAGAGAGAGGGAGACAGAAUCCGAAGCAGGCUCCAGGCUCCGAGCUGUCAGCACAGAGCCCCACGUGGGGCUGGAACUCACGAACCGUGAGAUCAUGACGCGAACAGAAGUCGGACACUCAACUGACUGAGCCACCCAGGCGCCCCCACCCCCCAACAGCUUUUAAAACUUUGUGUGUUUGUUUGUUUUAUUAAGUUUUUAUUCAUGUUUUGAAAGACGGGGGGGGGGGGGGUGGCGGAGAGCAUGAACAGGGGAGGGGCAGAGAGAGAGGGAGACACAGAAUCCAAAACAGGCUCCAGGCUCUGAGCUGUCAGCACAGACCCGGACGGGGGGGCUCGAACUCACAAACCAUGAGAUCAUGCCCCGAGCUGAAGUCAGAUGCUUAACCAAUUGAGUCACCCAGGUGCCCCUUAAAACUUUGUUUAACUGCCUGAAAUGAACAGGGAAAAAUGCCUGCUGGGGGUGAGGGUGUAGAAUAGAGAGGAUCGGGCACUGAGUUGAUGGCAGGAUGCAUGCUGGGCUGUGGGCUAGGUUCCUUCAGCCCGAUGGCAGCGGCUCCCUUCCAGGGCUCAGGGUGUCUGGUGACGUACCUCUGGGUGGCUGGCCCAGAGAGAGGCAGCCCCAGAGGCCACACGGUGCCUGAAGAGGUCCUAGCAAGGGGUGUGGAUCUCAGCCAGGAACAGCCUCCCCUGUAGAACAGGUCCCUGGGAGAGGAGGGUGGAGCCGUGAGGACAUUCCCCCCUCCCAUUUCCCCACCGACUGCCCAAGGCAGAGAGACAGGUCAAAGGGUGGUUUCCUCCUGUGGGCAGUCCCCAGGUGGGGGCAUCUCUCCCAAAUCCUGGUUGGCCGAGAGGGCCACACACAAACAGACGGAGGAGGUUUCCCUGCAGUGGAUGGUUAAUUGUCUCCAGGUCGUAGGGACCUGCAGAAUUAGGCCUUUCCGGACUGGACCAGGUCACACCGUCUAACCUCUUGAAUCCGGUGGGCCCUGUCCCCACCCCCUGGCCACUCUCAUUUCCUCGCCAGUUGUCCUGAAAUCCAGGUCAGUUUCAAAGCCUGGGGCUCCAGGCUGCCUGAGCAUGGGGUCACUUCCAGGGUCACUGACUGGACAAGGAGGUCAAUUUCAGCAGGAAACCUACAUGUAAGUGAUGCUGGCUACAUCAGGGUUCUGAACAAGGGGGCUUCAGCCUCUGCAAUAGCCUGGCCUUUGCAUUUCAUUUUACAGCUGGGGAGCCCGAGUCCUCCAGAAACUAACAUUCAUCAUUUAUUAAACAAACAUGCUUAAUAAAUGUGUAUCUACCUACCAGGCUUACAAAAUAACUAUCAUUUGCAAACCUCACAAUCCUGAGAAGGAGAUUUUUUUUUUUUUACGAAUUCCCAUUUUAAUAGUUUUUUUUUUUUUUUUUUUUUUUUA